CGGUGCCCAACUGCGCGC
rnacentral:snRNA from 1 species